rnacentral:rRNA from 1 species
GUCCACGCCGUAAACGAUGAAUGCUAGCCGUUGGGGAGCUUGCUCUUCAGUGGCGCAGCUAACGCUUUAAGCAUUCCGCCUGGGGAGUACGGUCGCAAGAUUAAAACUCAAAGGAAUUGACGGGGGCCCCGCACAAGCGGUGGAGCAUGUGGUUUAAUUCGAAGCAACGCGCAGAACCUUACCAGCUCUUGACAUGUCCCGUAUGGGUUCCGGAGACGGGAUCCUUCAGUUCGGCUGGCGGGAACACAGGUGCUGCAUGGCUGUCGU